UACAUGUGGGAAAUAUUAAUACUACACUUGCAGGGUGAAGGUAGCAGGCAUGAGACUGCGUUAGAACUGCUCUGUAACUAACUCAGUAGAAGGCAUGUUACUUUUUUAAAAAAUGAUCAAAUCAUGACCUAUAAAGAUUUACCUAACAGUUUCUUGGACUUUUCAGAUAGCCGUUAAUCUUCACCUUUUUCCUUCCAUAAUUUUAGCAUUUUCCCCUCCUAAUUAAAAAAACAAACUUGAGCCAGCAUUAACAAUCAUCAUUUUGAAUAGGAAAAGGAAUGUAGCUCAACUUGUGAUAAAAAUGAAGAAAAGAGUCUAUACAAAGGCUUGCUAAGUGUGUUUCCUGCUGACUACAACCCUCUCCUGUUUACUGAAAAGGAGUCAGGAAAACUACAGGUGUUGUCCAAGCUCUUAGCGGUUAUCCACGAACUUCGACCUACUGAAAAGGUGGUGUUGGUAUCCAACUAUACACAAACCUUGAACAUUUUACAAGAAGUAUGUAAGCGUCAUGGAUAUGCUUAUACAAGACUUGAUGGACAAACACCAAUCUCUCAAAGGCAGCAGAUUGUUGAUGGCUUUAACA
rnacentral:lncRNA from 1 species